ensembl:lncRNA
GUUUGAGCCUUACUGGGUUUUUCUGAACUCUACUUCUGACCUGUUUGGACACAGGAAAGAAAAUCACAACCUGUAUGCUUCUGUAUUCUAAUCUAAACGUGGAGCUGGACUUGGGAAGAAGGACUAAUUUAAGGUUACAAAGCACUUUGAGACUAUAAAAUGCCAGCUACUAAAACCUCCACCAAGUGGAAGGAGUUAACAGCAUGCUGACCACCAGAAUCUAGAUCCCAAACUGUUAGAACCAGAAGCUUGGUGAUGUUAACACCUGAAAUACCACCCUGUUACUUCAACGCCAACAAAUAGAAGGAUGUCCACAAGUUGACCAAUCACCCUAUGACCCUGUCUCUCACCUCACCUUUAAAGUGUCCAUCCACAGAUGAAUGGAUAAAGAAAAUGUGGACUACAACUCAGUCAUGAAGAAGAAAGAAAUUUUACCAUUUGCUGCAACAUGGUUGGAUUUGGAGGGCAUUAGACUGAGGGAAAUAAUUCAGACAGAGAAAGACAAAGAUUCUACGAUAUCCCUUAUAUGUGGAAUCUAAAAAAGAUGAUACAAAAAAAGAAGUGGAUUCACAGAUAUAGAGAACAAAGUAGUGGUUACUGGUGGGGAGAGGGGAGGAGAGAAAGGGGAGUUAAGAUAGGAUUAUAUGAAAUCAUGUAUUUGAGACUUUUGAGAACUGUAAAGCAGCAAAGAAUUGAAAGACUCUUAGUCAAUAAAAGUAAAUACAAUUAAAAGGCAAAACCAGAAAUCCCUUCCCUGAAAGUUGUCAGGAAGUUUGAGUUUUUCAAGAGAGACCUGCCUAUUCUUGCU